UACUGCGAUUCGAUCCCAAAUUCCCAAACGGACACUUCAAGUGAUCAAGUCCGUGCAAACCCUAGAUUCAGAAAUUACACACACUCACUCACUCACUCAAACUGAGCUGCGUGUUUGUGUGUGAGAAAACCAAGAAAAUCAAUGGAUUCAGACGAAGGGAAGCUGUUCUUAGGAGGAAUAGCAUGGGACACCACGGAGGAAAGGUUAAGUGAUUACUUCGGCAAAUACGGCGAUGUCUCGCAGACCGUAAUCAUGCGCGAUAAGAUCACCGGACGUCCGCGUGGGUUUGGCUUCGUUGUGUUCUCAGAUCCAUCUGUUCUUGAUUCUGUUCUUCAAGAUAGGCACACCAUCGAUGGCCGCAAUGUGGAAGCUAAGAGGGCUUUAUCAAGAGAAGAACAACAAGCAUCUAGGCCUGGAAGUAAUGUCAGCAGAAGCUCUGGAGGAGGAGGAACUUCCAGAACCAAAAAGAUAUUUGUUGGUGGAUUGCCUUCCACCUUAACAGAAGAACAAUUCCGCCAGUAUUUUGAAAGUUAUGGUGAUGUAACCGAUGUAGUAAUCAUGUUUGACCAAACUACCAACAGACCUCGUGGAUUUGGUUUCAUCUCAUUUGACACAGAAGAUGCUGUUGAUAGAGUCCUCCAGAAGACCUUCCAUGAACUUAACAAUAAGCUUGUGGAGGUAAAACGAGCUCUCCCCAAAGACGCGAAUCCUGGUGGUGGCGGCCGUGGGGGCGGCUAUCAAGGGAACAAUGGUGGUUCAUUUGACAAUCAAAUGGAUGGUAAUAGGUUCAUGCAGGCGCAAAACUCUGGUGGCGGCUAUCCUCCGUAUUCUGGAUAUGGUCAACCGAGUUAUGGUGGUUAUGGCGGGUAUGGAGGUUAUGGUGUUGGUGGUUAUGGUGGUCCUGCCGGAGCAUAUGGGAACCCGAGUGCUGCAAACUCCGGUUACAUAGGUGGUAGUCCUAGUCCAUUAAAAAACCCAUGGAGUGGUCAGACUCCUGGUUAUGGUGGUGCAGGGUAUGGUGCGAAUGCAGGGUAUGGGGCUAAUGUUCUUUGGAAUGGUGGUGGUGGUGGUGGUGGUGGAGCUGUGGGUCAACCUCCAAGUGGGGGUUCUAGUUAUGGGAGUCAAGGUUAUGGGUAUGGUGGUUAUGGUAGUAAUGAUGGCUAUAAUUCAAACACCGGUGGUUAUGGAGCAGCUGGUGGCCGAUCAGGGCCAGGAGAUCAACAAGUGGCUGGUGGUGGUGGCUAUAUGGGGGGUGCCGGUGCCGCCUAUAACGGGCAGCCUGGUUACUCUAACGCAGGGUGGAGAUCGGAGAUUUGAUUGAAAAGCGGAUGUGAUGGUGCUCCAAUAAUGGAACCAACGAAUCCAUAAAAGAUUGGAAUCAUGGAAUCCUUAUCCCAGGUUGGAACACAAGAAGAAUUCUAGUUUCAGCAAAUGGGAAAUGGAAUUCCCAGAACCAAACGCCCCCUUCGGCCACUGGAUCUGACAAUGAUAUCGUAUAUCAAUCCAGAUUUACUUUAUAUAAUUGGUUACUUUGAUUUUAGAUAACAACUAUUUUCUAAUUUGUUUUAACUUAAAAGCCUAUCAUAGCUUGUAUGAUAUUAUUAUAGGUGUUUUUUUCCUGGCAUAGAAAGCGUUUUUUAGUUCCCAUACACAACAAUUCAUUGUACAAUACAACAUUUUAAAGCACCAAUUGUUGUGUAUGGAGAAAAAUUGUUGUGUACGGACAGCUCCCUUUCAGAAAUGGUUAUUGGAUUCGGCCGUUAAAUCUUUUA